ACACUAUCAUUAACUGAAUCCAUAGGUUAAUGAGGCGAACCGGGGGAACUGAAACAUCUAAGUACCCCGAGGAAAAGAAAUCAACCGAGAUUCCCCCAGUAGCGGCGAGCGAACGGGGAGGAGCCCAGAGCCUGAAUCAGUGUGUGUGUUAGUGGAAGCGUCUGGAAAGGCGCGCGAUACAGGGUGACAGCCCCGUACACAAAAAUGCACAUAUUGUGAGCUCGAUGAGUAGGGCGGGACACGUGGUAUCCUGUCUGAAUAUGGGGGGACCAUCCUCCAAGGCUAAAUACUCCUGACUGACCGAUAGUGAACCAGUACCGUGAGGGAAAGGCGAAAAGAACCCCGGCGAGGGGAGUGAAAAAGAACCUGAAACCGUGUACGUACAAGCAGUGGGAGCCUCUUAAUGGGGUGACUGCGUACCUUUUGUAUAAUGGGUCAGCGACUUAUAUUCUGUAGCAAGGUUAACCGAAUAGGGGAGCCGAAGGGAAACCGAGUCUUAACUGGGCGUUAAGUUGCAGGGUAUAGACCCGAAACCCGGUGAUCUAGCCAUGGGCAGGUUGAAGGUUGGGUAACACUAACUGGAGGACCGAACCGACUAAUGUUGAAAAAUUAGCGGAUGACUUGUGGCUGGGGGUGAAAGGCCAAUCAAACCGGGAGAUAGCUGGUUCUCCCCGAAAGCUAUUUAGGUAGCGCCUCGUGAAUUCAUCUCCGGGGGUAGAGCACUGUUUCGGCAAGGGGGUCAUCCCGACUUACCAACCCGAUGCAAACUGCGAAUACCGGAGAAUGUUAUCACGGGAGACACACGGCGGGUGCUAACGUCCGUCGUGAAGAGGGAAACAACCCAGACCGCCAGCUAAGGUCCCAAAGUCAUGGUUAAGUGGGAAACGAUGUGGGAAGGCCCAGACAGCCAGGAUGUUGGCUUAGAAGCAGCCAUCAUUUAAAGAAAGCGUAAUAGCUCACUGGUCGAGUCGGCCUGCGCGGAAGAUGUAACGGGGCUAAACCAUGCACCGAAGCUGCGGCAGCGACACUAUGUGUUGUUGGGUAGGGGAGCGUUCUGUAAGCCUGUGAAGGUGGCCUGUGAGGGUUGCUGGAGGUAUCAGAAGUGCGAAUGCUGACAUAAGUAACGAUAAAGCGGGUGAAAAGCCCGCUCGCCGGAAGACCAAGGGUUCCUGUCCAACGUUAAUCGGGGCAGGGUGAGUCGACCCCUAAGGCGAGGCCGAAAGGCGUAGUCGAUGGGAAACAGGUUAAUAUUCCUGUACUUGGUGUUACUGCGAAGGGGGGACGGAGAAGGCUAUGUUGGCCGGGCGACGGUUGUCCCGGUUUAAGCGUGUAGGCUGGUUUUCCAGGCAAAUCCGGAAAAUCAAGGCUGAGGCGUGAUGACGAGGCACUACGGUGCUGAAGCGACAAAUGCCCUGCUUCCAGGAAAAGCCUCUAAGCAUCAGGUAACAUCAAAUCGUACCCCAAACCGACACAGGUGGUCAGGUAGAGAAUACCAAGGCGCUUGAGAGAACUCGGGUGAAGGAACUAGGCAAAAUGGUGCCGUAACUUCGGGAGAAGGCACGCUGAUAUGUAGGUGAAGCGACUUGCUCGUGGAGCUGAAAUCAGUCGAAGAUACCAGCUGGCUGCAACUGUUUAUUAAAAACACAGCACUGUGCAAACACGAAAGUGGACGUAUACGGUGUGACGCCUGCCCGGUGCCGGAAGGUUAAUUGAUGGGGUUAGCGGUAACGCGAAGCUCUUGAUCGAAGCCCCGGUAAACGGCGGCCGUAACUAUAACGGUCCUAAGGUAGCGAAAUUCCUUGUCGGGUAAGUUCCGACCUGCACGAAUGGCGUAAUGAUGGCCAGGCUGUCUCCACCCGAGACUCAGUGAAAUUGAACUCGCUGUGAAGAUGCAGUGUACCCGCGGCAAGACGGAAAGACCCCGUGAACCUUUACUAUAGCUUGACACUGAACAUUGAGCCUUGAUGUGUAGGAUAGGUGGGAGGCUUUGAAGUGUGGACGCCAGUCUGCAUGGAGCCGACCUUGAAAUACCACCCUUUAAUGUUUGAUGUUCUAACGUGGGCCCCUUACCGGGGUUGCGGACAGUGUCUGGUGGGUAGUUUGACUGGGGCGGUCUCCUCCUAAAGAGUAACGGAGGAGCACGAAGGUUGGCUAAUCCUGGUCGGACAUCAGGAGGUUAGUGCAAUGGCAUAAGCCAGCUUGACUGCGAGCGUGACGGCGCGAGCAGGUGCGAAAGCAGGUCAUAGUGAUCCGGUGGUUCUGAAUGGAAGGGCCAUCGCUCAACGGAUAAAAGGUACUCCGGGGAUAACAGGCUGAUACCGCCCAAGAGUUCAUAUCGACGGCGGUGUUUGGCACCUCGAUGUCGGCUCAUCACAUCCUGGGGCUGAAGUAGGUCCCAAGGGUAUGGCUGUUCGCCAUUUAAAGUGGUACGCGAGCUGGGUUUAGAACGUCGUGAGACAGUUCGGUCCCUAUCUGCCGUGGGCGCUGGAGAACUGAGGGGGGCUGCUCCUAGUACGAGAGGACCGGAGUGGACGCAUCACUGGUGUUCGGGUUGUCAUGCCAAUGGCACUGCCCGGUAGCUAAAUGCGGAAGAGAUAAGUGCUGAAAGCAUCUAAGCACGAAACUUGCCCCGAGAUGAGUUCUCCCUGACUCCUUGAGAGUCCUGAAGGAACGUUGAAGACGACGACGUUGAUAGGCCGGGUGUGUAAGCGCAGCGAUGCGUUGAGCUAACCGGUACUAAUGAACCGUGAGGCUUAACCUU
rnacentral:rRNA from 2 species